CUGGGCGUGCACCGGUGUUCGUUCUUCACGUCGGUGGCAUUUUCUUCUCUAGCUUUGGUAGCCAACUACCUCACUCGCUGGUGUUGAAACUGCCACCGACGUGGGUUCGUUCUGAGAUUAUACGGUCAUAACUUGAUUUCUGGAUAAUACCAGCGAAAGGAUCAUGCCUUCCCCCUCU
rnacentral:ncRNA from 1 species